UUUCUUUGCCCCCCUCCCUUCCUCUCUCUCCUCUAUUUAUUUUCUCCCCCACCCUUUGUCUCCGUCACUCACCAGAGAUCCCAACCCAAGGAGAGAGGAGCAAGAAAACAGAGAAAGAAGCAAAGAGAAGAGGUGGGACGGACUCACCAGGGUCUCUUCCGGAAUGUGGUCAGCCCUCGGGACCUCUCCUUCCCCAACAAGGAGGAGGAGGAAAAGGUACCAAGAUGAUGGUGAUCCAGGCAACAACAAUGUGCUCCUGCAAUAAGACACCAAAUUCUCUAGUCCUUUUGAUUCUAUUAGUCAACAUGAAUUAGAUAAGGACAUGCUUGGAGAACUAGGGAAUGAAGCCAUUGGUCCGCAAGACAUAAAUAUUUUGGGUCAUUAUAAAUGACAUUUCUCAUCUAUAUUUCUAGUUCAGUUCAAUGACAUUCAGUUCAGUUCAAUUCUCUUCCUUGUUGGUAUUUACCUAGGUUUAUACUUCAGUUCAAUUCUCUUCUUGGGAGAUGAAUGCUGACAGGUAGCAACAUAUAUCUUCACAAAAAACCAAGGUAGAAUUCGGCCAUAAAUUCUAUUCAGA